AAUGUGUGGAGGACCGCCACUAGGACCUCUCGGAAACACACCAGGUGGUGGAGGUCCUGGACGACUAACGGCUGCUCCACCAGCAAAAGGUGGCUGCUGCUGCCCAAAUGGUGUAUAAUUAGGCCUAGGAGCACUAGGUGGUUGCUGCCCAAAUGGGUUAUUAGGCCUCGGAGCACUAGGUGACUGGUUAGGUCUAUUUAGUUGUAGAUUUUGCAUACCAUCAGCAAGUGCAUUAGGGUUAUAGUUGGGCGGUGGUCUAUUCCCUGGUCUAGGUACCCCUGGAGCCGCCAUUGAUUAUUCCCAAAUUUCCCACC
rnacentral:lncRNA from 1 species